GCCUGACUGGCUCAGUUGGUAGAGCGUGUGACUGUUGAUCUUGGGGCUGUGAACUCAAGCCCCACUUUGGGCA
rnacentral:tRNA from 1 species